UACGUAGGGGGCAAGCGUUGUCCGGAAUCAUUGGGCGUAAAGAGCGUGUAGGCGGCCAGGUAAGUCCGCUGUGAAAUCUCGAGGCUCAACUUCGAGCUGUCGGUGGAAACUGUCUGGCUAGAGUCCGGAAGAGGAGAAUGGAAUUCCUGGUGUAGCGGUGAAAUGCGCAGAUAUCAGGAAGAACACCCGUGGCGAAGGCAGCUCGCUGGGACGGUACUGACGCUGAGGCGCGAAAGCGUGGGGAGCAAACAGG
rnacentral:rRNA from 1 species